GAUGACGUCACUGCAAGGCGCCGGUGGACACGUUGGCUGCGUUUUCGGCGGGAUUCCCGCGGACAAAAAUGGCUAUGGCUAGCGAUUUCUACCUGCGCUACUACGUAGGGCACAAGGGCAAGUUUGGGCACGAGUUUCUGGAGUUCGAAUUUCGGCCGGACGGAAAGCUUAGAUAUGCCAACAACAGCAAUUACAAAAAUGAUGUCAUGAUCAGAAAAGAGGCUUAUGUGCACAAGAGUGUAAUGGAAGAACUGAAGAGAAUUAUUGAUGACAGUGAAAUUACAAAAGAAGAUGAUGCUUUGUGGCCUCCCCCUGAUAGGGUUGGCCGACAGGUUUGUAUUUAGUGAUUAAGUGUAUAAAUAUUAAAAAUUGAUAAUACUAUUUUGUUUCCCCUUAUUUAUUUGGAAUGAGUCUAAGUUGACUCUUUGGCUUUCUAUUUAAUAGGCACCUGGUAAAUUCUCUUUAAUUUUAUCUCUUAGUUCCGUUUUUCUGUGCUACCUCCUAGUAGUGAAGGAGUCAGUGCAUAGCUCUAAAUUUAGACAUCUUUCUCUGUAG
rnacentral:sRNA from 1 species